GUAGCAAUUAUUCAAAUGAGAACUUUGAAGACUGAAGUGGAGAAGGGUUUCUUGCCAACUUUGAUUGUUCAAGAGUUAGCCGCUCCUAAGGGAAAGCUGAAAAGCAUUUAAAUAGGGAUUUGGUGUGGCAAGCAAUUGUUGUGUCUUUUCCCGGUCCCAAAAGGGAAACAGGUUAAUAUUCCUGUGCCUAGGUUAAUGUUAUAUAUGGAAGAUGGUAACAUAAUUUGGAAUGAACUUCUUAACGCAGGUUUUACGAUCGAAAUGCGUUAUCUUUGCAUUUUAACUUAUAGCUAACCUUGGAAUCAAUUUAAUUGGAGAAAAGGUUUGCUGAAUUGCAAUUCAUGAGGUUUUUAAGUGGCGGAAUAAUUUAUUAUUCCACAUUUAAAAAAUUAGUGUUUUGUAGUAAAAGUAAUUCAAUAUUAUGGAUUAUUCGAUAUGUAAGAACUGCCCGUGAAAAGGGAAGGGAACAGCUAUAUGUAGUGGGCAUGUUGUGAUGUUUUCAUGAGAGUUAUAUAUAAAGAAUAAAGUUAUUUGUUAAGCGAUAACUUUAUUCUUUAUAUAUAAUUUCUCUUGAAAGUGUCACAAUAAUGUUACAUUAUGAUAGCAUAGAUAACGAUGCCAUUUAGAGCGUACCCACAACCGCAUCAGGUCUCCUAGGUUAACAGCCUCUGGUU
rnacentral:ncRNA from 1 species